GUGCCAGCAGCCGCGGUAAUAGUAGGUGGCAAGCGUUUCCGGAAUAUUGGGGUAAAGCGCGCGCAGGCGGUUUCUUAAGUCUGAUGUGAAAGCCCCCGGCUCAACCGGGGAGGGUCAUUGGAAACUGGGGAACUUGAGUGCAGAAGAGGAGAGUGGAAUUCCACGUGUAGCGGUGAAAUGCGUAGAGAUGUGGAGGAACACCAGUGGCGAAGGCGACUCUCUGGUCUGUAACUGACGCUGAGGCGCGAAAGCGUGGGGAGCGAACAGGAUUAGAUACCCUGGUAGUCCACGCCGUAAACGAUGAGUGCUAAGUGUUAGAGGGUUUCCGCCCUUUAGUGCUGCAGCAAACGCAUUAAGCACUCCGCCUGGGGAGUACGGUCGCAAGACUGAAACUCAAAGGAAUUGACGGGGGCCCGCACAAGCGGUGGAGCAUGUGGUUUAAUUCGAAGCAACGCGAAGAACCUUACCAGGUCUUGACAUCCUCUGACAACCCUAGAGAUAGGGCUUCCCCUUCGGGGGCAGAGUGACAGGUGGUGCAUGUUGCGUCAGCUCGUGUCUGAGUGUGGGUAAUCCGCACAACGAGCGCAACCCU
rnacentral:rRNA from 1 species